rnacentral:rRNA from 1 species
ACUCCUACGGGAGGCAGCAGUGGGGAAUAUUGCACAAUGGGCGCAAGCCUGAUGCAGCCAUGCCGCGUGUGUGAAGAAGGCCUUCGGGUUGUAAAGCACUUUCAGUCGUGAGGAAGGUAGUGUAGUUAAUAGCUGCAUUAUUUGACGUUACUCGCAGAAGAAGACACCGCGUAACUCCGUGCCAGCAGCCGCGGUAAUACGGAGGGUGCGAGCGUUAAUCGGAAUUACUGGGCGU